rnacentral:tRNA from 1 species
GUUUCUGUGGCGCAAUCGGUUAGCGCGUUCGGCUGUUAACCGAAAGGUUGAUGGUUCAAAUCCAUCCAGAACG